CCUACGGGUGGCUGCAGUGAGGAAUAUUGGUCAAUGGCCGGAAGGCUGAACCAGCCAAGUCGCGUGAGGGACGACUGCCCUAUGGGUUGUAAACCUCUUUUAUAAGGGAAGAAUAAAUGCUACGUGUAGCAUGAUGCCUGUACCUUAUGAAUAAGCAUCGGCUAACUCCGUGCCAGCAGCCGCGGUAAUACGGAGGAUGCGAGCGUUAUCCGGAUUUAUUGGGUUUAAAGGGUGCGUAGGCGGGUUGUUUAGUUAGUUGUGUAAGCGUCGGGCUUAACCCUGAUUUUGCAAUUAAUACUGUAAGACUCGAGUUCAGACGAGGUAGGCGGAAUAAGUUAAGUAGCGGUGAAAUGCUUAGAUAUAACUUAGAACUCCGAUAGCGAAGGCAGCUUACUAGACUGCGACUGACGCUGAAGCACGAGAGCGUGGGUAGCGAACAGGAUUAGAUACCCGUGUAGUC
rnacentral:rRNA from 1 species